GGACUACUAGGGUUUCUAAUCCUGUUCGCUCCCCACGCUUUCGCACCUCAGCGUCAGUAUUGGUCCAGGAAGCCGCCUUCGCCACUGAUGUUCCUUCCGAUAUCUACGCAUUUCACCGCUACACCGGAAAUUCCGCUUCCCUCUCCCAUACUCUAGCCGUGCAGUUUCGAAUGCAAUUCCAAGGUUAAGCCCUGGGCUUUCACAUCCGACUUACACAACCGCCUACGCGCGCUUUACGCCCAGUAAUUCCGAUUAACGCUCGCACCCUCCGUAUUACCGCGGCUGCUGGCACGGAGUUAGCCGGUGCUUCUUCUGUAGGUUACGUCAAGACCCAGGGUUAUUAACCCUAAGCUUUUCUUCUCUACUGAAAGUGCUUUACAACCCGCAGGCCUUCUUCACA
rnacentral:misc_RNA from 1 species